rnacentral:misc_RNA from 1 species
GAAAUGCGAUAAGUAAUGUGAAUUGCAGAAUUCAGUGAAUCAUCGAAUCUUUGAACGCACAUUGCGCCCGCCAGUAUUCUGGCGGGCAUGCCUGUUCGAGCGUCAUCACAACCCUCAGGCCCCCGGGCCUGGCGUUGGGGAUCGGCGGAAGCCCCCUGCGGGCACAACGCCGUCCCCCAAAUACAGUGGCGGUCCCGCCGCAGCUUCCAUUGCGUAGUAGCUAACACCUCGCAACUGGAGAGCGGCGCGGCCACGCCGUAAAACACCCAACUUCUGAAUGUUGACCUCGAAUCAGGUAGGAAUACCCGCUGAACUUAAGC